UUGUUGGUAAGGUAAAAGCUUACCAAGGCUUCGAUCAGUAGCUGGUCUGAGAGGACGACCAGCCACACUGGGACUGAGACACGGCCCAGACUCCUACUGGAGGCAGCAGUGGGGAAUUUUGGACAAUGGGGGCAACCCUGAUCCAGCCAUGCCGCGUGAGUGAAGAAGGCCUUCGGGUUGUAAAGCUCUUUCAGCCGGAACGAAACGGUUACGGAUAACACCCGUGACUACUGACGGUACCGGAAGAAGAAGCACCGGCUAACUACGUGCCAGCAGCCGCGGUAAUACGUAGGGUGCGAGCGUUAAUCGGAAUCACUGGGCGUAAAGCGUGCGCAGGUGGUUUUGUAAGUCAGAUGUGAAAGCCCCGGGCUCAACCUGGGAACUGCGUUUGAAACUACAAGACUAGAGUGUGGCAGAGGGGGGUGGAAUUCCGCGUGUAGCAGUGAAAUGCGUAGAGAUGUGGAGGAACACCGAUGGCGAAGGCAGCCCCCUGGGUCAACACUGACGCUCAGGCACGAAAGCAUGGGGAGCAAACAGGAUUAGAUACCCUGGUAGUCCAUGCCCUAAACGAUGUCAACUAGUUGUCGGGCCUUUACGGGCUUGGUAACGUAGCUAACGCGUGAAGUUGACCGCCUGGGGAGUACGAUCGCAAGAUUAAAACUCAAAUGAAUUGACGGGGACCCGCACAAGCGGUGGAUUAUGUGGAUUAAUUCGAUGCAACGCGAAAAACCUUACCUACCCUUGACAUGUAUCGAAGCCCGCAGAAAAGCGGGGGUGCCCGAAAGGGAACGAUAACACASGUGCUGCAUGGCUGUCGUCAGCUCGUGUCGUGAGAUGUUGGGUUAAGUCCCGCAACGAGCGCAACCCUUGUCAUUAAUUGCCAUCAUUUAGUUGGGCACUUUAAUGAGACUGCCGG
rnacentral:rRNA from 1 species